rnacentral:rRNA from 1 species
CCUAAGUAGCGGCGAGCGAACGGGAAAGAGGCCAAACCGAAGGGCUUGCUCUUCGGGGUUGUGGAUCAGCAAAAAGGACGGAAGACCUUAGCAGAAGAGGAUUGGAAAGUCCCGCCAGAGAGGGUAAAAGCCCCUUACGCGAAAAGGUCAAACGACGAGCUGACACCAGAGUACCGCAGGACACGAGAAAUCCGGUGGGAAGCCGGGAGGACCACCUCCCAAGCCUAAAUACGAAUUGGUGACCGAUAGCGCAUAGUACCGUGAGGGAAAGGUGAAAAGAACCCCGGGAGGGGAGUGAAAAAGAACCUGAAACCCUGUGUUUACAAGCAGUGAAAGUGCAAGUUAGGCACGAUCACGUACUUUUUGUAGAACGGACCGGCGAGUUACGUUAUGCAGCAAGGUUAAGAACUGAAGGUUCGGAGCCGAAGCGAAAGCGAGUCUGAAUAGGGCGAUAGUUGCAUGACGUAGACCCGAAACCGGGUGACCUAUCCAUGAGCAGGUUGAAGUGGAGGUAAAGCUCCAUGGAGGACCGAACCAGACGUCUGUUGAAAAAGGCGGGGAUGACUUGUGGAUAGGGGAGAAAUUCCAAUCGAACCCGGAGAUAGCUGGUUCUCCUCGAAAUAGCUUUAGGGCUAGCCUCAUGGAUCAUUGGUGGGGGUAGAGCACUGAAUGUGCGCGGGGGCCACAAAGCCUACCAAACGCUAUCAAACUUCGAAUACCAUACAAUGCAGACCAUGGGAGUCAGUCCGCGAGAGAUAAGUUCCGCGGGCAAAAGGGGAACACCCCAGAUCAACCGCUAAGGUCCCCAAGUUCACGUUAAGUGGAGAAGGAUGUGGAAUUGCACAGACAACCAGGAUGUUGGCUCAGAAGCAGCCACACAUUUAAAGAGUGCGUAAUAGCUCACUGGUCGAGUGAUUGUGCGCCGAAGAUGUCCGGGGCUAAACGUGACACCGAAGCGAUGGGUGCGUCUGAAGAAGAUGCGCGGUAGAGGAGCAAUGUGCAGAGGCAGAAGCCGUAUCGAGAGGCACGGUGGACACUGCACAAGAGAGAAUGCCGGUAUGAGUAGCGAGAGGCAUGCGAGAAACAUGCCCGUCGAAAGCCCAAGGUUUCCUGGGGAAGGUUCAUCCGCCCAGGGUAAGUCGGGGCCUAAGCCGAGGACGGAAGUCGUAGGCGAUGGACAGCAGGUGUAGAUUCCUGCACUACCGAUGGAAUGAAGCAGUGACACAGAAGGAUAACUCGAGCAGGGUGAUGGUCAACCCUGUGCAAGCAUCAAGGUUGGGUUGUAGUGAAGUACGCAAUCCUACAAGCUGAGGUGUGAUGCGGACCGAAAUUUCAGUAGGGAAGCGAGUGAGUUCACGCUGGCGAGAAAAGCUGCUAGUACAUCCAAAGGUACCCGUACCGGAAACCGACGCAGGUGGGCGAGGAGAGAAUCCUGAGACGAACGGGAGAACCCUUGUUAAGGAACUCGGCAAAAUGACCCCGUAACUUCGGGAUAAGGGGUGCCUGCGAGAGCAGGCCGCAGAGAAUAGUCACAAGCGACUGUUUAGCAAAAACACAGGUAUCUGCGAAAGCGAGAGCUGACGUAUAGGUGCUGACACCUGCCCGGUGCUGGAAGGUUAAGGGAACAUGUUAGAGCAAUCGAAGCAUCGAACCGAAGCCCCAGUAAACGGCGGCCGUAACUAUAACGGUCCUAAGGUAGCGAAAUUCCUUGUCGGGUAAGUUCCGACCCGCACGAAUGGUGUAACGACUUGUGAGCUGUCUCAACAGGGGGCCCGGUGAAAUUGAAGUAUGGGUGAAGAUGCCCAUUACCCGCGACUGGACGGAAAGACCCCGUAGAGCUUUACUGCAGCCUGAUAUUGAGUUUCGGUAACUGAUGCACAGGAUAGGUGGGAGUCUGAGAGACAUGGGUUUCGGCUCAUGAGGAGACGAUGUUGGGAUACCACUCUUCGGUUACUGAAAUUCUAACAUAGCUCUGUGAAACCAGAGGAUGGACAGUGUCAGGUGGACAGUUUGACUGGGGCGGUCGCCUCCGAAAGAGUAACGGAGGCGCCCAAAGGUACCCUCAGAAUGGAUGGAAACCAUUCGAAGAGCGCAAAGGCAGAAGGGUGCCUGACUGCGAGAUUGACAAAUCGAGCAGAGACGAAAGUCGGGCUUAGUGAUCCGGCGGUAUUGAGUGGAAAAGCCGUCGCUUAACGGAUAAAAGCUACCUCGGGGAUAACAGGCUGAUCUCCCCC